rnacentral:rRNA from 1 species
UACAGAGGGUGCAAGCGUUGCUCGGAAUCAUUGGGCGUAAAGGGCAAGUAGGUGGUCUCAUUUGUCUCGUGUGAAAUCCUUGGGCUUAACUCAAGAAGUGCGCGAGAAACGGUGAGACUCGAGUUCCGGAGAGGUGGGUGGAAUUCCUGGUGUAGCGGCGAAAUGCGCAGAUAUCAGGAAGAACACCCGUGGCUAAGGCGGCUCUCUAGUACGGUACUGACGCUGAGACGCGAAAGCGUGGGGAGCGAACAGG